AUUGAACGCUGGCGGCAGGCCUAACACAUGCAAGUCGAACGAGUGGCGGACGGGUGAGUAAUGUCUGGGAAACUGCCUGAUGGAGGGGGAUAACUACUGGAAACGGUAGCUAAUACCGCAUACCAUCAGAUGUGCCCAGAGGGGAUUAGCGAGUUGGUGGGGUAACGGCUCACCAAGGAUACGACGCCUAGCUGGUCUGAGAGGAUGACCAGCCACACUGGAACGGAGACACGGUCCAGACUCCUAAGGGAGGCAGCAGGGGGGAAUAUUGCAAAAGGGGCGCAAGCCUGAUGCAGCCAUGCCUCGUGUAGGAAGAAGGCCUUCGGGUUGUAAAGUACUUUCAGCGGGGAGGCGUUACCCGCAGAAGAAGCAACGGCUAACUCCGUGCCAGCAGCCGCGGUAAUUC
rnacentral:rRNA from 1 species